rnacentral:lncRNA from 1 species
AGAAUUUAGGAGUCUCCGAGUGAGACAACCGUGUGAAGACGCGAGAAACGGAGCAAAGAGAGAAGGCACAAGCUUCCGCCAUUCCGAUCCUUGCCAACAAGAGCGCCACUUCUGCUUACUAUGGAGAGAGGUCGCUACCCAGGAUCCCGCGUGAAUCUGAGAAGCCGACCGCCGCGGGAUGGAGCUGAGAAUCUGCUGCCGCGUUUCUAACGCCGGCUGGGAGAGUCCCGAAAAUACAUUUCCUUCCUCUCUCCCAGGUCGGCCACAGCCAGCGGCCAGAAUGGCCCCGCUGGUCCGCUCAGCGUCGCAGCGCCGGCUCCGGCUUCCUUGCAGUUGUGCUGGAGAACUGUCUUCACCCUGACCAGACAUCAUCCUGGGCGUCCGGUUGAAAUUUCAGCCUUGAGAUCCUGAGGGGAACCAGUGCCAAAGGUGACAGCUGCUUCUGUGAGGGGUUCUGCUUGGCCAGAGAGGCUGGGCCAUCUCCUAGGGGGUU